rnacentral:misc_RNA from 1 species
UCGUACAAAAUGUGUGAGGCAUGCAAGGGCUGUCGCUGACUUUUUAAUCACAAAAAGUCGUGCACGCCGGAGCGUGUCCUCUCGCAUAAAAUCCAUCUCACCCUUUUGUGCACCACCGCGUGGGCACCCUUUGGGAUCGAACCGAUCCAGGAGGGCGCUUGCGUUUUCACACAAACCCCCUUAUAAAAGUGUAGAAUGACCCCAUUUUUGCGAUAACACGCAAUCAAUA